AUCCAUCUGACGAGUCCCAAAUAGGAAGAAACCCACGUCUUGGAU
rfam:Schistosoma margrebowiei strain Zambia genome assembly, scaffold: SMRZ_contig0010363